UGUGCUUCGUGAACCUCGUCCUGGUGGGUAUACAUUGACACACAGAUCAAGAUAAUAAUUGGUGCUCAUAAAUAAUGCUAUAAGUGAACAGACAUUUUACAGGCUUAUAAUGAUGACAAUACAACUUGAUAAAUAUGUUCGUGCGUGUAGCGAAAGUCAGAAACAUACUUGAUGAUUCUGUUGGAAAGGAAAUUGUUGAUUGCGAUAACUGUUUUUCCUACUUAAUUGCAUGACGUUUCUGGAACGAGUCUGAUGUUUGGUGCCUUAGCAGCAUGUCUUAUUGUAAUAUAUUUGGCUGUUGUUGCUAUAAUUGUCGUUGUGAAUCCUGUUGUGGCUCUUUUGCUCAAUUCACCUUCUCUAAAACAUAUAUUGUGAAACUUCACCAAAUUAAACUAUGAAACACAUAUAACAGUAAAAAAAAGUGUGAUUUACAAAGCAUAUGCUAGUCAUAUGGGAAUGUUGGAUUAAAACAUUCAUCAUUUUCAGAGAACCAUCAUAUAUGAUAGUGAAGCCAUAUGAAAAUCAAUAGACAAGUCUAUCAAUUUAGCUGGUAAAAACAUGUUCAAUGUUGAGAUAAUGUCAGCUGACAUAAAUAAUUUGACAUCUAGAUAUACUUAUCAAUAUUAAUAUAUAUAUAUAUAUAUAUAUAUAUAUAUGUAAAAUCUAGACAUGGAUAAAAAGUCCUAAUUUACAAAGAAAGUCGAGCACAAGAAAAAAUAGAAAGACUGAAAAUAAUGUGAUAGAAAGGAAAUUAAUCUUGUGUAAGCAAUACUCAGUUUUUAAAAGGUGAUCCUUUGAUAAUAAAGCAUCCAAACUAACUUAUACCAAAUUAUAUUGCCUUGUCGAGUAAUAAAAGUCAAACUGAUUGAAUUCAUGGCAAAUUCAUCUACAUUAGCUCCUAUGCAUGAAAAUAAAAUAUUUACUUCUCAAUCAAAGCCUGCUAAAAGUAAUUUUCACUUACUUUCUAAUGGUACUGAUUUUCAUCCCAUUGACACUAACCACAAGCCUAAUCGUCAUGCUAAUAUCCUCCCUGCAGCAUCCAUAUCAAAAAUUUUGAUAAGGAAAUGAUAACAUGACAUUAUACUGUAGAAAAUAUAAGAAGAUGGCCAACACAUUCAGCAAACAAUCUUUUCUGAGUUCAGCUAUAUCCAAGAACAGUUCAUAAUAUGCUAAUGAUCUCAGUUUAACUUGUAUAUUUUACCUAGCCAAAUGAUGCACCACAGUUACCAAACUAUAUCAUCAGCAAUCAGAGUCUCAAUUUCGGAUUGCCUAUAUCAUUCUAUACAGAUUUUUUCAUAUUUUUAUGCUUCAAGCAGGCUUGACUCAUCUCAAAAUGUCAUGUCACUACAACAAUUUGUCCGUCAAUUGUUGAAUUUGAAAAUUUUGAAGUAAAAUAUAUCUUGUUAAAGAGGAGAUACAAAAUCAUGUAGGCCUUUAUUUGAAUAAGGAGAAAGUAAAGGAGACAUAACGGAAACCCAACAAUUGAGUCACUAGCAUAAGGGGAACUAUCUUACAAUAAACAAUGUGUUUAGUAUAUAUAAACACAACUAAGGAUAUUUACUUUUAAAGUAACAGGUCAUUUCACCAUUUGUAUUAAAUCUCGACUGUUAUAAUGUGACACUGGGUAUUAAUUGUAUACUAUUCUAGAUUCAUCAUGCACUGUUUAAAUGAUUCCAAUUCGAAAUAAUCUAAAAGAGUAGAAUCGUGAGUAUGAUCAAAUAAAAGGAAGCAUAAAAAAGAAGAUUUUACCUUAAGCUUACAAUUGAUGCCUUUGAUAAAACUUUUGUUCCAUGAAUGAACUUUACCUUCAUAUAUGCAGAAACAUGACCUCCAUAGAUAUACUUGCGGUGAAGUGAUGAGUGCAUAUUAUUCAUUUAUUUUGAUUCUUUUAUGUUUAGUUUUAUUGCAUGUUUCAUGUGUAUAUGAGCUUAUUAAGGUGUUUAAUGAUUUCAGGAAGAAUUGAAGCUGAAAUGAGGAAAAAUAAAAAAUUGCAGGAUUUUUAGCAUUAAGUUGGAUGAAUGGUCUUGGCUUAGGACUUGGAUUUUAUUGUAGAGCUCUUCUUUAGCUUUCCGGAACAUCUUGAAUCGUCCAAAACGGAGUUCAUAUGAAAAAGUUAUGAUAUUUUUACUAAACGGACGUUGAACCUCAAAGUUUGGAAGUUGCAAUUUACACAACAGUCACUUGGAGCCUGAUUUCGACCUUGAUGCAGAAAGAUUCUGUCGAUUCUCAAAGAAUGAAAGUUGUAGAUCUCGUCGAUAUCUUCGUUUUGAUAGGUAGCAGGCCCCGUAACUCCUCCCGGAUCAAAAGCUAUGCUCAUUUUACCAAAGGACGUUGCAGCAGGAAAUGAAAAUUCGCCGCAGCGAAUUUGAGGGGAAAAAUUGAGAAAUCUUGGAUUUUUGGAAAGUUUCUAAAUGCAAAUUUUGGUAGACUUCUACAUGGAAUUGGAUUGAUAUUUUAUUAGAUUUAGGAUAUCUUUUAGACUAAGAUUUAUUUCCAAAUUGAAUUCUAUUUCUUUAUGGAAACUAGUUAUGAUUUGUAAUUCCUUUUAGGAUUUGGAUUUCUAUUUCCUACAAGAUUUAUGACUUUAUCUAGCACUAUAAAUAGAGGAUGAAAGUCAGGGUUUUAGGCAUUCAACUAUCAACUAUCAUCUAUUGGAGUGUAGACUCAAGAGCAUGUCAGGCUAGUUCUUUUUAUUCAGUUCUAAAGGGAGGUGAAUCCUUGUUACAAGUAAUUGAUUAAUUGAGUAUUAUUAUUUAUUCCUUCUUGUGUGAAAUUUCUUCUGAUAAUCUGUUUUCAUUGAUUGCAUGCUAAUUGAUCUAAUUGAUUUAAUAUGGCCAAUUGAGUUAAUUUGAUCAUUAUCAUCUGCUAGAUUAAGAUUGGUAUUACGUGUAAUUGAUAUCU
rnacentral:lncRNA from 1 species